GAUGAAGAACGCAGCGAAAUGCGAUAAGUAAUGUGAAUUGCAGAAUUCAGUGAAUCAUCGAAUCUUUGAACGCACCUUGCGCCCUUUGGCUAUUCCGAAGGGCAUGCCUGUUUGAGUAUCAUGAACACCUCAACCCUCAUGGUUUGCCAUGAUGGGCUUGGACUUUGGGGGUCUUGCUGGAUUGUAGUCAGCUCCCCUUAAAUGAAUCAGCUUGCCAGUGUUUGGUGGCAUCACAGGUGUGAUAAAUAUCUACGCUUGUGGUUUUACAUCAGAUAACCUUCAGUGAUGGAGGUUCACUGGAGCUCAUAAAGGUGUCUCUCCUCUGUGAGGACAGCUCUUUGAAUGUUUGAUCUCAAAUCAGGCAGGACUACCCGCUGAACUUAAGCAUAUCAAUAAGCGGAGGA
rnacentral:misc_RNA from 1 species